CCAGACUCCUACGGGAGGCAGCAGUGAGGAAUAUUGGUCAAUGGGCGCGAGCCUGAACCAGCCAAGUCGCGUGAGGGAUGACGGUCCUACGGAUUGUAAACCUCUUUUGCCGGGGAGCAAGCGUGCGUUCGUGAACGCGCGUCGAGAGUACCCGGAGAAAAAGCAUCGGCUAACUCCGUGCCAGCAGCCGCGGUAAUACGGAGGAUGCGAGCGUUAUCCGGAUUUAUUGGGUUUAAAGGGUGCGUAGGCGGGAUGCCAAGUCAGCGGUAAAAAUGCGGUGCUCAACGCCGUCGAGCCGUUGAAACUGGCAGUCUCGAGUUGGAGAGAAGUAUGCGGAAUGCGCGGUGUAGCGGUGAAAUGCAUAGAUAUCGCGCAGAACUCCGAUUGCGAAGGCAGCAUACCGGCGCUCAACUGACGCUCAUGCACGAAAGUGUGGGUAUCGAACAGGAUUAGAUCCCCGAGUA
rnacentral:rRNA from 1 species